AAAUAGAACUUUGCAGAGAGAGUUAACAGGGCGUGAAACCGUUGAUUGGCAAACGAAUCGGAGCCACGAAGUCGUUUCGCUGAUUAGUUGGGCCAAGUUCAGCUUCAAACUGGCAACAGUUUGGGGUGUAUUCUUGUGUCUAACCAGACAAUCAUUGUAAGCGUACACUGCAACCAGUUAGACAAUUGACACUGGGCACAGUUGGUCGCUCGGGUCAGUAGUAGCGUUGUGGUUCUUCGGGGCCAUGAUGUUGCUGGGCUCGUGGCGAGUGAACUAGCGUCAAAUACUGACUGGCAAAAUGAGAAUCGUUCUUAGGAGCGUAGUAAAUAAAGCAGCUUGCUAGACUAGUGUCUACGUGRGCGACCAUAGGGUUUAAGCUCAGCAUUUUUGAAUUUGGACUUGCUAGCUACCAGUGGGGCAACUCCUGGUGUUAGUAUAGAUUCAUCUAAUCGGGUGUUGACUUGAUCUUAUGUUGUUCGUUUACGCUACGAUUGGGCGUUAGUUUAAGUGGGUUCGCAAUUAUUGGCAGUGAGUAGGUCGGCUUUCCGAACGACCCGUCUUGAAACACGGACCAAGGAGUAUAAUUAGGUAUCGAGUCGAGCGGUCUUGAAUAGGCCAGACUGGUGGGUGAUCAUCGAUUGAAGGCGUAGAGACAUGUGAUCAUGGCUACAACAGCUUCCAUGCGCAACAUGUGCCUGUUCGUAUAGCAAUGUAGCAAUAAUUGCUGGCGGAGCAAAGAGAUACCUGAUUGGUACCCGAAAGAUGGUGAGCCUGGGCAAAUUGAAGCCAGAGGAAACUCUGGUGGAGGAUUGUAGCGAUUCUGACGUGCAAAUCGAUCGUCAGACCUGGGUAUAGGGGCGAAAGACUAAUCGAACCAUC
rnacentral:rRNA from 1 species